UACGGAGGGCGCGAGCGUUGCCCGGAUUUACUGGGCGUAAAGGGCGCGUAGGCGGCUUGGGACGUCCCAUGUGAAAGGCCACGGCUCAACCGUGGAGGAGCGUGGGAUACUCUAAGGCUAGACGGUAGGAGAGGGUGGUGGAAUUCCCGGAGUAGCGGUGGAAUGCGCAGAUACCGGGAGGAACGCCGGUGGCGAAGGCGGCCACCUGGUCCACAUGUGACGCUGAGGCGCGAAAGCGUGGGGAGCAAACCGG
rnacentral:rRNA from 1 species